rnacentral:rRNA from 1 species
AUUGAACGCUGGCGGCAGGCCUAACACAUGCAAGUCGAACGGUAACAGGAAACAGCUUGCUGUUUCGCUGACGAGUGGCGGACGGGUGAGUAAUGUCUGGGAAACUGCCUGAUGGAGGGGGAUAACUACUGGAAACGGUAGCUAAUACCGCAUAACGUCGCAAGACCAAAGAGGGGGACCUUCGGGCCUCUUGCCAUCGGAUGUGCCCAGAUGGGAUUAGCUAGUAGGUGGGGUAACGGCUCACCUAGGCGACGAUCCCUAGCUGGUCUGGGAGGAUGACCAGCCACACUGGAACUGAGACACGGUCCAGACUCCUACGGGAGGCAGCAGUGGGGAAUAUUGCACAAUGGGCGCAAGCCUGAUGCAGCCAUGCCGCGUGUAUGAAGAAGGCCUUCGGGUUGUAAAGUACUUUCAGCGGGGAUGAAGGGAGUAAAGUUAAUACCUUUGCUCAUUGACGUUACCCGCAGAAGAAGCACCGGCUAACUCCGUG